rnacentral:rRNA from 1 species
UGGGGAAUUUUGGACAAUGGGCGCAAGCCUGAUCCAGCCAUGCCGCGUGCAGAAUGAAGGCCUUCGGGUUGUAAACUGCUUUUGUACGGAACGAAAAGAUUCUGGUUAAUACCUGGGGUCCAUGACGGUACCGUAAGAAUAAGCACCGGCUAACUACGUGCCAGCAGCCGCGGUAAUACGUAGGGUGCGAGCGUUAAUCGGAAUUACUGGGCGUAAAGCGUGCGCAGGCGGUUAUGUAAGACAGAUGUGAAAUCCCCGGGCUCAACCUGGGAACUGCAUUUGUGACUGCAUAGCUAGAGUACGACAGAGGGGAAUGGAAUUCCGCGUGGAGCAGUGAAAUGCGUAGAUAUGCGGAGGAACACCGAUGGCGAAGGCAAUCCCCUGCGCCUGUACUGACGCUCAUGCACGAAAGCGUGGGGAACAAA